UUCACAUGAGAUGUGUUUAACUCUGCUGGAGGGCUGAGUUGCCGAUGAGCUUCAGUGGAGGAAAUGCAGGAAUGGACUGGAAAAAUGGAGUUAAUUUUAUAUUAUAGAAGUGUUGCACAGUGCUCGAUGGAAUUUAUAGUUGCAGCUCAGCUCUACUCAAAGGUACUUAUCCUCAAAGAGAAAAAUACCUGGUAAGACUCCAAGUGUAAAACAAACAAGAAUCAUCCAGUCAGAUCUUCUCAGGUGGACCCUUGCUCUCAUGUGGGUCCCAUUGAAAUCACUGAAAUCAGUAGAACUUAUGUAUGAGCUUGCUGCAGAACCAGGAUAGCUAAUGCAUCCAGUGAAAAACAUAUGAAUGGAUUUUGUGACAUUUUCUUUCAUCUUAAAAAUCUCAGGCUGGUUAACAGUCAACCUGAGUUAAUCGUGCAAAUGAAGGCUACGACCAUUCACAUCAUAUGAAUUUUUACUUGUGUUAAUUAUAGCCAACAAAACACUGAGUCAAUCAAUUAAGACCAGCAUGAGCAUCUAUUUGAAGAUAAGUUUUGCCUCCCAGACAGAAGGAUUUGAUUUGGCAUUUAAAAGUAAUGCAUCUAUACUUGGGGAGCUGUCACAGGUUCUUUCUCUCUCUCUCUCUCUUUAUUUUGCAGAUUCACUGCAAGUUCCACAUCUUGUUUCAGAUUGUCAAAAAGUCAGAAUGUGUCCCUGCUAACAGUCAUUAAUUGCAAAACUCUCUGGCUACUUUAUAUUUUUUAACAAACCAGACAUGUUAGUAAAUAAGAUUGUCACUUGUGAAGAUGGAGUUUCCUUUUAGUAGCAGUAGUACUGAUUAUUUUUAAUGGUUGAUAUGUUAAAAUGGCUGCUUAAAAGUGUUAAUGGCUUUGUUUUUAUGAAUGACAAUUGGGCUAAGGAUAUUGUUUGUUCUGGUUGAGUUUGUGUUGUGUGUGCAUUAGAAAAAUCCUUGACUCUGGUGUUAUUGCCCAAGGCUCAAACAUUUAUUGCUAGACUAACAAAAGAAAGCAAGAUAUUUUAGUGAGGGUUCUAUUAUUUUCCAACCUGGUCUAAAAAGAUAAAAAUGGGACUUACAAAGAUGGAGGAAAUGUAACCAAAGUGCAGCACACAAUUAUUUUACCCUACCUACAUUUUUUCUGUAGCUGUUCAUGUGCAAAUAGCAUUAAAAGGAGAACUUGACUUGAUCUUGAUCCAGGUCUCUGCUUCAGUACUUCUUG